rnacentral:misc_RNA from 1 species
GAUGAAGAACGUAGCGAAAUGCGAUAAGUAAUGUGAAUUGCAGAAUUCAGUGAAUCAUCGAAUCUUUGAACGCACAUUGCGCCCGCCAGCACCCUGGCGGGCAUGCCUGUUCGAGCGUCAUUUCAACCAUCAAGCCCCCAGGGGCUUGUGCUGGGGCCCUGCGGCUGCCCGCAGGCCCUGAAAACCAGUGGCGGGCUCGCUAGUCACACCGAGCGCAGUAGCACAUCUCGCUCAGGGCGUGCGGCGGGCUCCUGCCGUGAAACCCCCCACUGUAACCCCAAAGGUUGACCUCGGAUCAGGUAGGAAUACCCGCUGAACUUAAGCAUAUCAAUAAGCGGAGGA